rnacentral:pre_miRNA from 1 species
UCAACCCAUUUAAUCAUCUGACCCAUCAAAUUAAAUGAGUUCAUGGGUUGACUCAACUCAUUAGCAUAAUGAGUUGAGUCAACCCAUGAACUCAUUUAACUCUAAACUCAUUGGGUAAUGAGU